CAGCAGCCACGGGAAUACGUAGGGUGCGAGCGUUAAUCGGAAUUACUGGGCGUAAAGCGUGCGCAGGCGGUUGUGUAAGACAGGUGUGAAAUCCCCGGGCUUAACCUGGGAACUGCGCUUGUGACUGCACGGCUAGAGUAUGGCAGAGGGGGGUGGAAUUCCACGUGUAGCAGUGAAAUGCGUAGAGAUGUGGAGGAACACCGAUGGCGAAGGCAGCCCCCUGGGCCAAUACUGACGCUCAUGCACGAAAGCGUGGGGAGCAAACAGGAUUAGAUACCCCUGUAGUCCCUGUCUCUUAUAC
rnacentral:rRNA from 1 species